AGCUCUACUAGAUGAACAACAUGCCGGACUCGCUCGACAACCAUAGUCAGGGCUGGGAACAAACAAAACAACAACAUGGCUUCCACUGUCAUCCUGUUACAUGAAUCAGAGAAGAAUUAGAAUAACUGGGGGAAAUAUAUGUCGUAGCUAACAAAGUAAGAAACAAUAGUUAACAAGUCUGAGUCAUAGAAGCUAGAAGUGUCCCUUCAGAGAGACGAGAACUUAGAAUUGAUGCAUGGAUCUUAUUCUAAACAGCAUAAACACCAUGGCAAUAACAAAUUAACAGUAACAAGAUCAGUGUUAGCAGAAUUAAGUACAAGGCAAUCACGGGUACCAAUCCAGUGCAAGUUAAUAGAGAAAAUAUGUCAAAGUUACUCAGAUUUACUAAUGUGUUUUUCAUACUACCAAAUUGAAGGUAAAAGAUGUGUACUGAUUCAACACUGCAAACUGAUUUCUGAAAGCUUUACCAAAACAUUAUUUAGUCGCUUGGUGCUAAAGCGAUAGAUGUUGAACACUAACUGCCAGCGAUAGUAACAACCAGCAGGUACUAACCAGCAGGUACUACACCUGCGACCGCCAUCACUAGCUUGGAAGCAAUAAGCACAGCAUAGGUAGGAUAGGAAUCAUCCUGGUUGUGUGUUCACGAAUCACCUAAUAGGUGUCGUGCCGCAUAAUUGAUUUCCUGAACUCAGUAUGCUACACUUGUAUAUCCCAAAUCAGGGCUCAUGAAUCCUCAUCAAAGUGUGAAAUUUUACCUGAAGUAGGGCAGUGGCCACGUCGAAAACCACGUACAGGUCAAUGGUCUGCGGGGCAUGAGAAGCACAUCAGGAACCCGACAGUCGCAAGUGGCAGACGAAAAAAAAUACUGCUAGGGAAUCUGUACACGAAUGAGGCAUAGAGCAGCAAAAUAAGAUAUAUAUUCAUGAUCUUCACAGCAUGAAUCCAAAUCCUA
rnacentral:lncRNA from 1 species